GGGUUGUGAGGUUAAGCGACUAAGCGUACACGGUGGAUGCCCUGGCAGUCAGAGGCGAUGAAGGACGUGCUAAUCUGCGAUAAGCGCCGGUAAGGUGAUAUGAACCGUUAUAACCGGCGAUUUCCGAAUGGGGAAACCCAGUGUGAUUCGUCACACUAUCAUUAACUGAAUCCAUAGGUUAAUGAGGCGAACCGGGGGAACUGAAACAUCUAAGUACCCCGAGGAAAAGAAAUCAACCGAGAUUCCCCCAGUAGCGGCGAGCGAACGGGGAGGAGCCCAGAGCCUGAAUCAGCAUGUGUGUUAGUGGAAGCGUCUGGAAAGGCGCGCGAUACAGGGUGACAGCCCCGUACACAAAAGCGCAUGUGCUGUGAGCUCGAUGAGUAGGGCGGGACACGUGGUAUCCUGUCUGAAUAUGGGGGGACCAUCCUCCAAGGCUAAAUACUCCUGACUGACCGAUAGUGAACCAGUACCGUGAGGGAAAGGCGAAAAGAACCCCGGCGAGGGGAGUGAAAAAGAACCUGAAACCGUGUACGUACAAGCAGUGGGAGCCCCACCACUAAGCCAGUGGUGAACUCUACAUACGCAUCCUUUGCUGAGGAUACGGUUAACGGAGCGAAAGCGACGUUCAACCUCAAAAGAAGCAGAGGGGGCUUAGUGGUGGGGUGACUGCGUACCUUUUGUAUAAUGGGUCAGCGACUUAUAUUCUGUAGCAAGGUUAACCGUAUAGGGGAGCCGUAGGGAAACCGAGUCUUAACCGGGCGUUAAGUUGCAGGGUAUAGACCCGAAACCCGGUGAUCUAGCCAUGGGCAGGUUGAAGGUUGGGUAACACUAACUGGAGGACCGAACCGACUAAUGUUGAAAAAUUAGCGGAUGACCUGUGGCUGGGGGUGAAAGGCCAAUCAAACCGGGAGAUAGCUGGUUCUCCCCGAAAGCUAUUUAGGUAGCGCCUCGUGAAUUCAUCUCCGGGGGUAGAGCACUGUUUCGGCUAGGGGGCCAUCCCGGCUUACCAACCCGAUGCAAACUGCGAAUACCGGAGAAUGUUAUCACGGGAGACACACGGCGGGUGCUAACGUCCGUCGUGAAGAGGGAAACAACCCAGACCGCCAGCUAAGGUCCCAAAGUCAUGGUUAAGUGGGAAACGAUGUGGGAAGGCCCAGACAGCCAGGAUGUUGGCUUAGAAGCAGCCAUCAUUUAAAGAAAGCGUAAUAGCUCACUGGUCGAGUCGGCCUGCGCGGAAGAUGUAACGGGGCUAAACCAUGCACCGAAGCUGCGGCAGCGACACUGUGUGUUGUUGGGUAGGGGAGCGUUCUGUAAGCCUGUGAAGGUGUGUCGUGAGGCAUGCUGGAGGUAUCAGAAGUGCGAAUGCUGACAUAAGUAACGAUAAAGCGGGUGAAAAGCCCGCUCGCCGGAAGACCAAGGGUUCCUGUCCAACGUUAAUCGGGGCAGGGUGAGUCGACCCCUAAGGCGAGGCCGAAAGGCGUAGUCGAUGGGAAACGGGUUAAUAUUCCCGUACUUGGUGUUACUGCGAAGGGGGGACGGAGAAGGCUAUGUUGGCCGGGCGACGGUUGUCCCGGUUUAAGCGUGUAGGUGUGUGUUCCAGGUAAAUCCGGUUCACUUUAACACUGAGGCGUGACGACGAGGCACUACGGUGCUGAAGCAACAAAUGCCCUGCUUCCAGGAAAAGCCUCUAAGCAUCAGGUAACAUCAAAUCGUACCCCAAACCGACACAGGUGGUCAGGUAGAGAAUACCAAGGCGCUUGAGAGAACUCGGGUGAAGGAACUAGGCAAAAUGGUGCCGUAACUUCGGGAGAAGGCACGCUGACACGUAGGUGAAGUGAUUUACUCAUGGAGCUGAAGUCAGUCGAAGAUACCAGCUGGCUGCAACUGUUUAUUAAAAACACAGCACUGUGCAAACACGAAAGUGGACGUAUACGGUGUGACGCCUGCCCGGUGCCGGAAGGUUAAUUGAUGGGGUCAGCGCAAGCGAAGCUCCUGAUCGAAGCCCCGGUAAACGGCGGCCGUAACUAUAACGGUCCUAAGGUAGCGAAAUUCCUUGUCGGGUAAGUUCCGACCUGCACGAAUGGCGUAAUGAUGGCCAGGCUGUCUCCACCCGAGACUCAGUGAAAUUGAACUCGCUGUGAAGAUGCAGUGUACCCGCGGCAAGACGGAAAGACCCCGUGAACCUUUACUAUAGCUUGACACUGAACAUUGAGCCUUGAUGUGUAGGAUAGGUGGGAGGCUUUGAAGUGUGGACGCCAGUCUGCAUGGAGCCGACCUUGAAAUACCACCCUUUAAUGUUUGAUGUUCUAACGUGGACCCGUAAUCCGGGUUGCGGACAGUGUCUGGUGGGUAGUUUGACUGGGGCGGUCUCCUCCUAAAGAGUAACGGAGGAGCACGAAGGUUGGCUAAUCCUGGUCGGACAUCAGGAGGUUAGUGCAAUGGCAUAAGCCAGCUUGACUGCGAGCGUGACGGCGCGAGCAGGUGCGAAAGCAGGUCAUAGUGAUCCGGUGGUUCUGAAUGGAAGGGCCAUCGCUCAACGGAUAAAAGGUACUCCGGGGAUAACAGGCUGAUACCGCCCAAGAGUUCAUAUCGACGGCGGUGUUUGGCACCUCGAUGUCGGCUCAUCACAUCCUGGGGCUGAAGUAGGUCCCAAGGGUAUGGCUGUUCGCCAUUUAAAGUGGUACGCGAGCUGGGUUUAGAACGUCGUGAGACAGUUCGGUCCCUAUCUGCCGUGGGCGCUGGAGAACUGAGGGGGGCUGCUCCUAGUACGAGAGGACCGGAGUGGACGCAUCACUGGUGUUCGGGUUGUCAUGCCAAUGGCACUGCCCGGUAGCUAAAUGCGGAAGAGAUAAGUGCUGAAAGCAUCUAAGCACGAAACUUGCCCCGAGAUGAGUUCUCCCUGAGACUUUAGGUCUCCUGAAGGAACGUUGAAGACGACGACGUUGAUAGGCCGGGUGUGUAAGCGCAGCGAUGCGUUGAGCUAACCGGUACUAAUGAACCGUGAGGCUUAACCUUACAACGCCGAAG
rnacentral:rRNA from 2 species